GCCGACAUAGCUCAGCGGUAGAGCAGCGCACUCGUAAUGCGCAGGUCGUGGGUUCAAAUCCCACUGUCGGCU
rnacentral:tRNA from 1 species